CGCAACGUCACCCGGUUGUCACCCAGUGUCACCUGGUUGUGUCACCCUGCAAUGUCACCCGGUUGUCACCCAGUAUCACCCGGAGGUGUCACCCAGUGUUGUCACCCAGCAGUGUCACCCGGUGUUGUGCUGUUACCCAACAAUGUCACCCGGUUGUCACCCGGCGCUGUCACCUGGUGUUGUCACCCACUUAUCACCCAGCGUCACCCGCUGGUGUCACCCGGCAUCGUCACCUGCUGGUGUCACCUGGCACUGUCACCUGGCACUGUCACCCGGCGGCGUCACCCCGCGGUGUCACCCCCACCCCCAGCCUGGCAUUGUCACCCAUUGUCACCCAUUGUCACCCGGCAGUGUCACCCCAACCCAACACCCCCCUGCAGCGGUGGUACCUUGGUAGGCGGUGUCCCACGGCGCGGUGACGUCAGGCGCUGGUGGCUCGCUGGGGGCUGUGGGGGUGUCACCGGCUGUCCCCAUUUGUCCCCACAUUGUCCCCGUUUGUCCCCACAGUGUCCUUGCUUGUCCCUGUUUGUCCCCAGGGGUCCCUGUCUGUCCCCAACGUGUCCCCAUCCGUUCUCACGGUGUCACCAGGGUGUCCCCAUUUGUCCCCAUGUGUCCCCAUUUGUCCCCAUUCAUCCCCAGCUGUCCCUGUCCGCCCCCAUUUGCCCUCAGCUGUCCCCAAAGCGUCCCUGUUUGUCCUUAAAGUGUCCCCUAAGUGUCCCCCUCCAUCCUCGGG
rnacentral:lncRNA from 1 species